rnacentral:rRNA from 1 species
GUAUGUUGCCAAACCUCCUUGUCAAAGCCUGAUGAAGUCAGAUCUCAGAUGCUAAGUAGGGCUGGGGCUGGUUAGUACUUGGAUGGGAGACCGCUGGGAAUAUCAUGUGCCGCAGUGG